AUUGAACGCUGGCGGCAGGCCUAACACAUGCAAGUCGAGCGGAUGAAGGGAGCUUGCUCCUGGAUUCAGCGGCGGACGGGUGAGUAAUGCCUAGGAAUCUGCCUGGUAGUGGGGGAUAACGUCCGGAAACGGACGCUAAUACCGCAUACGUCCUGAGGGAGAAAGUGGGGGAUCUUCGGACCUCACGCUAUCAGAUGAGCCUAGGUCGGAUUAGCUAGUUGGUGGGGUAAAGGCCUACCAAGGCGACGCUCCGUAACUGGUCUGAGAGGAUGAUCAGUCACACUGGAACUGAGACACGGUACAGACGCGUACGGGAGGCAGCAGUGGGGAAUAUUGGACAAUGGGCGAAAGCCUGAUCCAGCCAUGCCGCGUGUGGGAAGAAGGUAUUCGGAUGGUAAAGCACUGUAAGGGGGGAGGAAGGGCAGUAAGUUAAUACGUUGCUGUUUUGACGUAACCAACAGAAUAAGCACAGGCUAACUUCGUG
rnacentral:rRNA from 1 species